rnacentral:miRNA from 1 species
UUGGUGCAAAAGUAAUUGCAGUUUUUGCCAUUACACUCUAACUGUAAAAACCACAAUUACUUUUGCACCAACCUAAUAU